rnacentral:rRNA from 1 species
GAUGAACGCUGGCGGCGUGCUUAACACAUGCAAGUCGAACGAUGAAGCCCAGCUUGCUGGGUGGAUUAGUGGCGAACGGGUGAGUAACACGUGAGUAACCUGCCCUUAACUCUGGGAUAAGCCUGGGAAACUGGGUCUAAUACCGGAUAGGAGCGUCCACCGCAUGGUGGGUGUUGGAAAGAUUUAUCGGUUUUGGAUGGACUCGCGGCCUAUCAGCUUGUUGGUGAGGUAAUGGCUCACCAAGGCGACGACGGGUAGCCGGCCUGAGAGGGUGACCGGCCACACUGGGACUGAGACACGGCCCAGACUCCUACGGGAGGUAGCAGUGGGGAAUAUUGCACAAUGGGCGCAAGCCUGAUGCAGCGACGCCGCGUGAGGGAUGACGGCCUUCGGGUUGUAAACCUCUUUCAGUAGGGAAGAAGCGAAAGUGACGGUACCUGCAGAAGAAGCACCGGCUAACUACGUG